rnacentral:snRNA from 1 species
UUAACCACUUACAUCCAA